CGAUAGACGUGUCUUAUGCGAAAAUAAAAAGGAGCUCUGGACCACUCUCUACGUAAGGAGAAAAAGUCGUAAAAUGAAUGUGCGCCUAGGUUUUAUGACCAUGAUGACUCGAUUCGACAAUUUCG
ensembl:ncRNA W05E10.11 ncRNA